UGUCUUAGUGUUGUUUAUUACUUGUGAAUGUUAUAUUUUACUUUUGUUUAUGAGUAUAUAUAUAUGUACUAUGUAGUGUAAUUUGUAUUGAAAUUUUAGAUUUGUUCUUGUUGUGAUGCAUUAUAUAUAGUCAAUAAGUUAAUUUUUGAUUGUUUUACAUUCUAUUCACUAAACACUUCAUUCAGUGGUUAUAAUUACAAAAUCAAGCUUGAAUAUUUUUAUGAUCUUACUUAUUUUUUGUGUAUAUUGAAUAAUGCUGGGAAAGGUUCUUUAGAACGGUAUUUAAAUCAAUAUUUUUAGAACGCAAAUUUUUUUUUUAAAUUUGCCAUGCUUUUUAAGUCGGGUGGAAUAUAACCGAUCUAAUAAGAUAUUUCUUAGGUCGGUUCCAAAUCCGUGUUAACAACUCAAUACUUCUUAUGUCGGCUUUUCUUAGGUCGGACGCGAAACCGACUUAAAAGGUCAUUUUAAACAGCCCUAAGAAGUGUUUUCUUAAGUCAGGUUAAAACCGACUUAACAAGUCAAUACUUCUUAUGUCGGCUUUUCUUAAGACUGGCACGGAACCGACUUAAAAUGUCGUUUUUAACCGACUUAAAAAGUGUUUUUUGUACUAG
rnacentral:lncRNA from 1 species